AGUGGCGCACGGGUGCGUAACGCGUAUGCAACCUACCUUCCACUGGGGGAUAGCCCGUCGAAAGACGGAUUAAUACCGCAUAUGACCACAGGAGGGCAUCCGAUUGUGGUAAAAGCUGAGGCGGUGGAAGAUGGGCAUGCGUGCCAUUAGCUAGUUGGCGGGGUAAAGGCCCACCAAGGCGACGAUGGCUAGGGGUUCUGAGAGGAUGGUCCCCCACACUGGUACUGAGACACGGACCAGACUCCUACGGGAGGCAGCAGUAGGGAAUAUUGGGCAAUGGCCGAGAGGCUGACCCAGCCAUGCCGCGUGCAGGAAGAAGGCCUUCUGGGUUGUAAACUGCUUUUAUAUGGGAAGAAAACGCCUUUGCGAAGGUAACUGACGGUACCAUAUGAAUAAGCACCGGCUAACUCCGUGCCAGCAGCCGCGGUAAUACGGAGGGUGCAAGCGUUGUCCGGAUUUAUUGGGUUUAAAGGGUGCGUAGGCGGCCCGUUAAGUCAGCGGUGAAAUCCCAGGGCUCAACCCUGGAACUGCCGUUGAUACUG
rnacentral:rRNA from 2 species